rnacentral:rRNA from 1 species
UUUAACGGCCGCGGUAUUUUGACCGUGCAAAGGUAGCAUAAUCAUUAGUCUUUUAAUAGGAGGCUGGAAUGAAGGGUUUGACGAGGUAUUGACUGUCUCAUUUAAUUUGAAAUUAAAAUUUAACUUUUCAGUUAAAAGGCUGAAAUUGUAUUGGAAGACGAGAAGACCCUAUAGAGCUUUAUAUUUAAAAUUAUAAUAAAUUUUUGUUUAUUAUUAUUUCUUAUUAUUUUAAUUAUUUUGUUGGGGUGACAAAAAUAUAUAAAUAACUUUUUUAUUUAAAUAACAUUGAUUUAUGAUUAUUAGAUCCAGUCUUAUUGAUUGUUAGAUUAAGUUACCUUAGGGAUAACAGCGUAAUCUUCCUUCAGAGUUCAUAUUUACAGGAAGGAUUGCGACCUCGAUGUUGGAUUAAGAUAAUAAUUAGGUGUAGCCGCUUAAUAUAUAGGUCUGUUCGACCUUUAAAUUCUUACAUGAUCUGA